CCCUAAAACCAAACAAAAAAUCAAUAAACUGAAAUCAAACAAAAAAUCAAAAUCUUACAAUCCUAAUUGAUUAUCUUACUUUUCAUCUCUUCGUACGAUAGUUGAGAGAUGGGUGAACUAACUGCAAGAUCAUCCAUUCUAUUUUAUUCAAGUUCAUCAGUGACUUCCGGUUUUUCUGGCUUCUCAACAUAGCACAUUUUAAUACAACCUUUGGUUCUGCUUGUUGAUUCAAAUUUUGAAACCAGAAAAUGGAUCUUACUUGGAUGUAUAAUAGAGCAUAUUCCGCUAGACACGGAUUGAAAGAAGAGUUUGUUCAUGGUGUUAAAAAAUUUGUGAAUCUCAACUAGUCAAACAAAGCUUGUGCCAGAUUGGGUUUGGCUCUAAAUUUCUCUAUCUUCUAUUAUGAAAAUCUCAACCAGUCAAACAAAGCUUGUGCCAUGGCCAAACAGGUUUGUGUUAAUGGAUUUUUUAUUGGUUUACGAUAGCUUUAUCAUAUUUGUUGACUAGGGUGUUUGUAUCUUAUGAAAGUAUCUGGAAGGACGGGACGACGAUGAUGACAAGGUUAUUAUUUUUAAACCUUAACAUUAGUUAUACUUUCAACCCUCCCAAUGAGGACCUUCAAACUUUCUUACUUGCUUUCUGUUAUUUCUAUGAUGCCUCAACGCUUGCAAGCAGAUCCGCAGUAUUCUUCAAGGUGGCUAGAGGGGGAGUUCCUCUGGCCAACAGUUUUGAAGGUCUUGGGUUCUCGGAGAAUGUGAAACGCAAAUGUAGAGAAGACAGAGCUAUUUCCGACAGUGUUGACCUUGUUGAUUGUGAAUCUCACACGCCUGAUUCUCGUCCUCCGGUUCAUGCUUUUUCUUCCGAUUAAAUGGCUAAUAGUACGCCUCAGAGUCCUCAUGGUUCUAGAUUGUCGAUCAUCUUUGAUCCUUAGAAUGGAACACUCAGAAGGGGUGAUGUAGUGGUCUGCGGAGGAGAUUUUAGAAAGGUUGGAAGACACGUUAACUUAACUUUCAAUGUUUAAUGAGGCAUAAUUUAUUUAUUUUUGAUAAAUAAUGAACUUAGCUUCAGGGAUCCAUUGAAGCCGUCAAACAAGCCCUGUAGGCGCUACCACAAGAUAAUGUCAUGCUGAAGUUUUUGAUGGAAACAACUGGUGAUGGAAGCACAAGUGAUGCUGACCUUGCCAUGGCAAGCAAAGCUAUUAUUUUUGGAUUUAAUGUCAAAGCAUCAGGUUCUGUAAAAAGCUAUGCCGUGGAAAUUUUGAUAUAGUGCAUACUUUAGUUAGUGAAUACAGUUGUGGAGGUGUACAUCAAAUUAGGUAGUAAGUGACUGAUGCAAGCUGAACACUUUGAUAUGUCUUGUUUCUCUACUUUGAAUUAUUCUCCUGCUAACCAUUUUAUAUGGGCAUUGAUCUUAAAUCAAAUAUGGUUCAAAAGCUAAUUUUUAUGUUGCUUCUAGAGCUUGAUCAUAGCCUCGGCUUAACCCAGGCUAAUUAAAUUUAAUGACUUUUAUAAUUUGACUUUAGCCUCGAUUUGGCCGAAGCUAAUUUUUAUGUUGACUUCGGGAAAUUGACCUUAGCCUCGGCAAAUCCCUGGCUAAUUAAUUUUGUUCACUCUUAUAAUUUAACUUUAGCCUUGGUUUGGUCGAGGCUAAAUAUUUUGUUGACUUUCAAAGGUUGCCCUUAGCCUCGGCCUAGCCCAUGCUAUUAGUA